AACUAACGCUGGCGGCGCGUCUUAAACAUGCAAGUCGAGCGGUAAGGCCCGCAAGGGUACACGAGCGGCAAACGGGUGAGUAACACGUAGGUAAUCUUCCCUUCAGUGGGGGACAACCUGCCGAAAGGCAGGCUAAUACCCCAUAUUUCCAGUCCUUCCACGGUGGGAUUGUAGAAAGCAGCAAUGCGCUGAAGGAUGAGCCUGCGGCUGAUUAGCUUGUUGGCGGGGUAACGGCCCACCAAGGCGACGAUCAGUAGCCGGCCUGAGAGGGUGUCCGGCCACACUGGGACUGAGACACGGCCCAGACUCCUACGGGAGGCAGCAGUUAAGAAUCUUGCGCAAUGGGCGCAAGCCUGACGCAGCGACGCCGCGUGCGCGAUGAAGGCCUUGGGUUGUAAAGCGCAAUAGACAGGGAAGAAGAAAGUGACGGUACCUGUUGAAAGCACCGGCUAACUACGUG
rnacentral:rRNA from 1 species